UACGAAGGGGGGCUAGCGUUGCUCGGAAUCACUGGGCGUAAAGCGCACGUAGGCGGAUCUUUAAGUCAGGGGUGAAAUCCUGGAGCUCAACUCCAGAACUGCCUUUGAUACUGGGGAUCUCGAGUCCGGAAGAGGUGAGUGGAACCUCGAGUGUAGAGGUGAAAUUCGUAGAUAUUCGGAAGAACACCAGUGGCGAAGGCGGCUCACUGGUCCGGUACUGACGCUGAGGUGCGAAAGCGUGGGGAGCAAACAGG
rnacentral:rRNA from 1 species